rnacentral:rRNA from 1 species
AAUUUGACGGUAUUAACUUUUACAAAGGAAUUUGUUUCUUAAUCGACAAUCCACGACCUAUCUUACUUAAUAUUUUUCUGUAUACCACCGUAUAUGAAAUUAUUCAAAAUAAAUUUCAAAAAAGAUCUCAAAUCUAAAAAAUCAGGUCAAGGUGCAAUUUUAUUAAGAAGAAAUGAAUUACAUUAACUUAUAUUUACCUAUAAUAGCUGAAACUCUAUUAAAAACAGAAUUUGUCAGUAAAAUUUUAUCAUCAUGAUAUUUUGAAAACUACCAUUAAUAUGUACAUAUCGCCCG